rnacentral:rRNA from 1 species
CAGCAGCCGCGGGAAUACGAAGGGUGCAAGCGUUACUCGGAAUUACUGGGCGUAAAGCGUGCGUAGGUGGUUGUUUAAGUCUGCUGUGAAAGCCCUGGGCUCAACCUGGGAAUUGCAGUGGAUACUGGGCGACUAGAGUAAGGUAGAGGAUAGUGGAAUUUCCGGUGUAGCAGUGAAAUGCGUAGAGAUCGGAAGGAACAUCUGUGGCGAAGGCGACUAUCUGGGCCAUUACUGACACUGAGGCACGAAAGCGUGGGGAGCAAACAGGAUUAGAUACCCCCGUAGUCCCUGUCUCUUAUAA